rnacentral:rRNA from 1 species
AGAGUUUGAUCCUGGCUCAGAGCGAACGCUGGCGGCGUGCUUAACACAUGCAAGUCGAGUGCGCGCCUGUAGCAAUACAGGUGGCGCACGGCGCACGGGUGCGUAACACGUGGGUAAUCUGCCCUUCGAUGGGGAAUAACUCGCCGAAAGGCGAGCUAAUUCCGCAUAACAUUCCGAGAACUUCGGUUUUUGGAUUCAAAGGCGUAAGUCGUCGGAGGAGGAGCCCGCGCACGAUUAGCUAGUUGGUGAGGUAAUGGCUCACCAAGGCUAUGAUCGUUAGCUGGUCUGAGAGGAUGGCCAGCCACACUGGAACUGAGACACGGUCCAGACUCCUACGGGAGGCAGCAGUGGGGAAUCUUGCACAAUGGGCGAAAGCCUGAUGCAGCGACGCCGCGUGGGGGAUGAAGCUUCUCGGAGUGUAAACCCCUUUCGACCCGGACGAAUGCCCCGCAAGGGGACUGACGGUACGGGUAUAAGAAGCCCCGGCUAACUACGUGCCAGCAGCCGCGGUAAGACGUAGGGGGCCAGCGUUGCUCGGAAUUACUGGGUGUAAAGGGUUCGUAGGCGGUGUGGCAAGUCGGGAGUGAAAUCUCUGGGCUCAACCCAGAGUCUGCUUCCGAAACUGCUGUGCUUGAGUGUGGGAGAGGCGCGUGGAAUUGCAGGUGUAGCGGUGAAAUGCGUAGAUAUCUGCAGGAACACCCGUGGCGAAAGCGGCGCGCUGGACCACUACUGACGCUGAGGAACGAAAGCUAGGGGAGCAAACAGGAUUAGAUACCCCAGUAGUCC